CACCUAAAAGCUAGCCUACCCAAUUUUAACCUAUAAUAAGAUUAAAAACUUUCAAUACAUAAAGUAAAUCAUUCAUAAACCCUAGUAUGAGAGACAAAAAAG
rnacentral:rRNA from 1 species